GGGCAGUUACUCAAGUGGUCAACGAGGGCAGACUGUAAAUCUGCUGCGCUUGCGCUACGUAGGUUCGAAUCCUGCACUGCCCA
rnacentral:tRNA from 1 species